UGUGGGAGGAAGCUCAUUGUAGAGGCCACCAGCAGAGUGAGAAUUCACUCCAAACCAACGCCUCGGGGAAGGUCUGAGACAGGAGCCAUUGGUCCCCCUCGCAGCGGGUCACCAUAAUCUGGUGAGUGGGUGCACAGAAAAUACUGGCCUCAUUGAGUGGGGAUCACAGGAGAAGCUGCUUGAUGUCCUUCAGACCAACUGGUGGAUGUGAACUCAGUGGCUUGGAAACN
rnacentral:RNase_P_RNA from 10 species